CAGUCAGCAGCUCAAGAAAAACCCGGAAAUUGCGAAUUAAACCACGUUUUGCACUGACCUUUAACACUUCUGAACUAACAACUGAUAUCUCGUGCGCUGAAGCACAGCGUGAGCUAAGGGCAUUUUCAGAAACUGUCACAGACCCAGAUCGAAUUGAUCUUUCAAGAAUGAACAUGCUGCUGCGUGCAACCAUUCAAAUACGGCAGCAAAAUCCAGUUGAGGAGCUCCCUGUAUACCUUCUGAAUGCAGCUGUGGACCAGCAUGAUACCAGCAAGCUUCUUCUAGGGCCGUGUGUUAUCAUGGAACCUGGAUCAGAAAGAAUUGUAUGCAAGAAACAGACUGCGCGCCUUGUGCCUGGAUGUUCCGUUGAACGUGGACUGAUUCUGUGUUUGACUUUUUGUUUCAUACUUGAUCUCGUAUCCGCAUGCGUUUGGACAAACUUUAGGGUUGUUGCAAACCAUCCUAGUAAAGAACAACACAUUUGAGCAAUGCUUUAUGUCACAUCGGCUGAAAGCUUUGUUGAAGCAGCUGAAUAGCUGCCUCACGAGGACAAGCCACAAGGCUGACCGGGCUGAAAACUGAAUAUGCAGGUUUCGUGUUCAUUCCAAGUGUGCUGAUGUUCAUCGUACUGACUUGUGUACUAUAGUUUACUCAUGAGUUUCUAGUCUGGCCUUGCAUUGCCUGUAUGUGCUGUACUUGUCUCCAUCUCACCAUGCUGCAAAAGGUUUUCUGCAAAAUAAAGGAGUCAAA
rnacentral:lncRNA from 1 species